CCACCCAGCACUUUCACUUUCCCCAAACCCUUUCCCCCCCUCCCUUUCGUUUCUGCAGGAUCCUGUGGAAAAGAAAAGUGAAAGUGCGUAGCUUUUGUUCUCCUCGCAGAGAAAAGCAGCCCAGUUUGGGGUUCACAGAUGAUAGCCCCUGGCCUCAGGAUUGGGACUGACAUAUCCUUGGAAGUGGCUUUGAGAGCAAAUGGACCUCUAAAUCCCUCUGGACAUAGCAGCAAGCCUGGACUGGACUGACCAUCUGCCUGCUCCAGGCUUUCCCCUCUGGGGCACAGUGGUCCCUUCAAGACCAUGCUGAAGAGGAAACACUCUUGGAGGGCUCAGUGCAUGCCUGUAUUGCACAAAAUACAUGUGCGUCUGGAAAGAAAAGUAAAUGGAGCGAGAUGGUGACCUGAGAACUUCCCAUCAUGGGACCUGGCUUGCAGAGGACAGCAGCUGUGGAGAUUGGGUAAAGUGGCUUUUUCGUACAGUUUUGGAGCUGCGCAUGAAAAGACCUGACAGCUUUCUGUUCUGGGACUGCUGAGCCCACCACAGGACAAGCAUCUAAAACUCACCUCACGCUGGUAACGGGAAGAAUCAAGUUAGCUGAUGAUCUGGAUACUGACAGUUAUAACUGGGCACAAAGAGCCAAAAAUGACUGAAGGGUUUCCCUACAGAUGACUUGAGAUUUUGGAUUGUCAUUCCACUUUAUGGGAUAAAUCAUAAUCUUGCCUAAUUCAUGCUCACAUGAUGUUUCCAUUUUGGAACUGGCAAAGAUUAAAGUUUCAUUCCUUUAUUGUU